GGUCAAGUGAUGAUUUGGAUUAAUAUUCUCACGACGGUCGUCUGAGGCACUAAAUCAGUGUCCUUUUGAUGUUAAUAAUCCAUCUUUCUGAUGAUC
rfam:Beta vulgaris subsp. vulgaris Bvchr7.sca001.con0160.1, whole genome shotgun sequence.